rnacentral:rRNA from 1 species
UACGUAGGGCGCAAGCGUUGUCCGGAAUUAUUGGGCGUAAAGAGCUCGUAGGCGGCUUGUCACGUCGGGUGUGAAAGCCCGGGGCUUAACCCCGGGUCUGCAUUCGAUACGGGCUGGCUAGAGUGUGGUAGGGGAGAUCGGAAUUCCUGGUGUAGCGGUGAAAUGCGCAGAUAUCAGGAGGAACACCGGUGGCGAAGGCGGAUCUCUGGGCCAUUACUGACGCUGAGGAGCGAAAGCGUGGGGAGCGAACGGG